AACGCAUAUUGCGCUCUUUGGUAUUCCGAAGAGCAUGCUUGUUUGAGUAUCAGUAAACACCUCAACCUCUCUUUUUUGAUAAAAAAAAGGGAGGGUGGACUUGAGCUAUCCCAACGACCUUCACCGGUAGGCGGGCGGCUUGAAAUGCAGGUGCAGCUGGACUUUUAUCUGAGCUAAAAGCAUAUCUAUUUAGUCCUCGUCAAACAGGAUUAUUACUUUUGCUGCAGCUAACAUAAAGGAUAAUUGUCCUAUUUGCUGACUGAUGCAGGAUUUUACGACACUUUAUGUGUUGUUCAACUCGAUCUCAAAUCAAGUAAGACUACCCGCUGAACUUAA
rnacentral:misc_RNA from 1 species